AGUGAACGCUGGCGGUAGGCCUAACACAUGCAAGUCGAACGGCAGCACAGGAGAGCUUGCUCUCUAGGUGGCGAGUGGCGGACGGGUGAGGAAUACAUCGGAAUCUGCCCAGUCGUGGGGGAUAACGUAGGGAAACUUACGCUAAUACCGCAUACGACCUUCGGGUGAAAGAGGGGGAUCGCAAGACCUCUCGCGAUUGGAUGAGCCGAUGUCGGAUUAGCUAGUUAGCGGGGUAAUGGCCCACCAAGGCGACGAUCCGUAGCUGGUCUGAGAGGAUGAUCAGCCACACUGGAACUGAGACACGGUCCAGACUCCUACGGGAGGCAGCAGUGGGGAAUAUUGGACAAUGGGCGCAAGCCUGAGCCAGCCAUACCGCGUGGGUGAAGAAGGCCUUCGGGUUGUAAAGCCCUUUUGUUGGGAAAGAAAUCUUUCAGGCUAAUACCCUGGGAGGAUGACGGUACCCAAAGAAUAAGCACCGGCUAACUUCGUG
rnacentral:rRNA from 1 species